CAGCUUAACUUGUGUAUUCUCACAGAUCCUACAUAAUUGUGUGCAUUCACAAUCAUGUCAACCAAAUAGCCAAAUCAUAUAGCUGGUAAGUUCAUGUAUUACAUAAUCACAGUGAUCAUAUGAAAUAUUUUUAUACAUUUUUCAAAUAUCUCAUCCAUGUUAUUAUAACAAUCAUUUCUUUCUUUUAUAGGGUCUAACAUACUUUCUGUUCAUGAGCUUUGUUAUGAAUUUAGUUCAUAUUUCUUUUCUAAGUUAGGCCAAGAUAGCUCUCUUCGUAAUAUUAGUAACUCUUUGUGACACUAACAACUUAAACUUGGUUGAGAAAUUUGUAGCUCUCAUAAGGCUUUGUAACUUUGUUCUAGUAUACCAAAGUGUUAAAUACUCCUGUUUUCCCCUUUGUAACAAAACAGUCCCAAAUUGACUCAUUGUGUGACAAUUAAGUUUUGUUUAACUAUGUGGGGCUUAGCCAAGCUUGGAAUGGCCAUAUAUAGCCCCGUAAUCCCAUAUAUAGCCUAACAGCCUCCCCUUGGCUCUAGAUCAUUAUUUCAUUAACUUCAACGUACAAAUUACUAGUUCGCUUACCUUAGAGUUGAAAUUUACAAUAUUGAUUUGAUUUAUUCAAAACAACUCUCUAAUAUAGCUUUGUUUAGUUUUUAUAAUUUCUAAUUAAUUAGUUCAAACAUACUAAAUGAUAGAUUCGUUAUGGACUCUAAUUACAUACCACAAAAUGAACUAUAAUGAUUCUUGAUGAUUAGUUUUAUUAUUGUCUAACCAAAAUAGCUUCUCAAGACUGCUUUAACAGUCAUUUUCUUGCCAACUACUGCUGUCCAAAAGCAGCAGCCCCCUAUUUUUGGCUCAUCAAUUUAUGUCUUUAGACCCUUUACAAAAAUUGCUUAAUAUCAUUUAAGGUGAUACAUUUAUUUAUGAAAAUAACUCACUAGUUGCAACAAUACACAAUACUAUGUGAGUUCAAAAAUAUUUACCAAGACAAAACCACUUAACAAGUAGCAAUUAACUGACUAUGCAGCUUAGCAUAGCAUAGCAACAUACACUAGUUGCUGUAGUCUAUAGUAGCUCAGUUCAAUUAUUUCCCCUUUCACAGCUCCUAUUUAAAAAGUUUAAAACCCAAGAUAGCUAAGUUUGGUUAUACUCAAACUCUAGAACUUAAAAGCUACCAUAGUGGCCUUAUCAAACAGUCCCAACACAAAAAAAAAAAAAAAUAGCUCAACAUUUUAGCUACAUAAGGUAACUGCAGCAGCACAGUAUACCCAGCAGCGCGCUGGUGCGCCACUGCAACUGCUGCGUCUAGCAGUUGCUCAACAGCCCAAUUUGCGGCCUUUUAACUUUUAGCUCGUUUACCAAAUUAAAACAAUCUUUAAGUAUCUUAUACAUACCAUAUGAGACUGUAUUUAGAAGUUAUAACCUCUUCAUUUUAGGCCCUAAACGCUGUCUAAAACAGUGUUCAUACAAGCCAUGUAGCACUAAAUUUUCCUUAUUUUCGUUUUGGCUUAAACUGCUUUUCGCUCUAAAUUAGUAAUUUCAAAUUCUCUAAUUAACAUCCUAUAUGUUGUAUAACUCAAGCCCAAGCUUUACUUCUAACAAAUUUUUGGUUUUAGACAAAAACAGUCCAUUAAGGACUUUUGUCAAGCACUCGGAGGGCAUAUUUUUAAAAUUCUGUUUUCAUGGCCAUUGUUUUAUAUCAUAAACUCAUGUUUAUCCUCCUUAUUACUCCACAACCCAACCUAUCUCCUCUAGCUAUUUAUCAACCAAUAGCAGUCCAAAACACAGACAAAGCAUGAAUGCACAAACCAACUGUUUUGUUCUAAUUCACAAUAACCCAUUUUGCUCAAUACUAACAUCACAGCUAACAAAAACUUAGUGAAUUAAUUCACAUACCUUUCACUUGAUUGCUUAUAAUUUCUUACUAUUCUGCAACUUAGUCCCAGCUGCUCAAGGAUAUAAUGAAGCUUUCAAAUUAUUUUCUUGUGCCCGCCGAAUAUAAAUACUGGAGAUUGCUAUGGAGUAACUCAAUUGUGAUUAGAUGGAGAGGAAAUCGGUAAUUGCCUUAGUAAGGAACGAAAUUGGUUGAGAGAGAAGGAAAGGCAGAGAAUUAUUGGGAGCCUUCGAUUUAUAUAAUGUUAUUCCCUUACUUCCCACAUUAUAGCUUAACCAAAUCAGAAGUCUAUUUGUAUAAUACAAGGACAGCUCCUCCUUGCCAUAGGCUGAUCCAGCUAAGUCCCCCUAAUCUCAAUACAGCUCACGCUUUCCUUCUUUACUGAUGACCUUAGUAAUCCAUAAGACCAUGUUUGGUUUUUUUUUUUUUAUGCAGUUCAGCCUUAGCUUAGUAAGGUUAUUACUAUUUAGUUACUCAUAAAGUACCAGUGCACAUAUUCUAUAGUAUUGCUACCGAAAU
rnacentral:lncRNA from 1 species